GGGGAAUUUUGCGCAAUGGGGGAAACCCUGACGCAGCAACGCCGCGUGAGUGAUGAAGGCUUUCGGGUCGUAAAGCUCUGUCUAGAGGGAAGAAAUGAUAAUCGGUUAAUACCCGGUUUUCUUGACGGUACCUCUGAAGGAAGCACCGGCUAACUCCGUGCCAGCAGCCGCGGUAAUACGGAGGGUGCAAGCGUUGUUCGGAUUUAUUGGGCGUAAAGCGCGUGUAGGCGGUUUGUUAAGUCUGAUGUGAAAGCCCUGGGCUCAACCUGGGAAGUGCAUUGGAAACUGGCAGACUUGAAUACGGGAGAGGGUAGUGGAAUUCCUAGUGUAGGAGUGAAAUCCGUAGAUAUUAGGAGGAACACCGGUGGCGAAGGCGGCUACCUGGACCGAUAUUGACGC
rnacentral:rRNA from 1 species